rnacentral:tRNA from 1 species
AGUGAGAUGGCUGAAUUAAAGCGAUAAAUUGUAAAUUUAUUAAUAAGAACUAUUCUUUCCCACUA